GAUGAACGCUGGCGGCGUGCCUAAUACAUGCAAGUCGAGCGAACAGAUGAGGAGCUUGCUCCUCUGACAUUAUCGGCGGACGGGUGAGUAACACGUGGAUAACCUACCUAUAAGACUGGGAUAACUUCGGGAAACCGGAGCUAAUACCGGAUAAUAUAUUGAACCGCAUGGUUCAAUAGUGAAAGACGGUUUUGCUGUCACUUAUAGAUGGAUCCGCGCCGCAUUAGCUAGUUGGUAAGGUAACGGCUUACCAAGGCAACGAUGCGUAGCCGACCUGAGAGGGUGAUCGGCCACCCGGGAAGUGAGACAGGGUCGAGACUCCUACGGGAGGCAGCAGUAGGGAAUCUUACGCAAUGGGGGAAAGCGUGACGGAGCAACGCCGCGUGAGUGAUGAAGGUGUUCGGAUCGUAAAGCUAUGUUAUUAGGGAAGAACAAAUGUGUAAGUAACUAUGCACGUCUUGACGGUACCUAAUCAGAAAGCCACGGCUAACUACGUG
rnacentral:rRNA from 1 species